rnacentral:rRNA from 1 species
GACGAACGCUGGCGGCGUGCUUAACACAUGCCAGUCGAACGGAAAGGCCCUGCUUGCAGGGUACUCGAGUGGCGAACGGGUGAGUAACACGUGGGUGAUCUGCCCUGCACUUCGGGAUAAGCCUGGGAAACUGGGUCUAAUACCGGAUAUGACCUUCCAUGUAGUGUGGGGGGUGGAAAGAUUUAUCGGUGUGGGAUGAGCCCGCGGCCUAUCAGCUUGUUGGUGGGGUAAUGGCCUACCAAGGCGUCGACGGGUAGCCGGCCUGAGAGGGUGGACGGCCACAUUGGGACUGAGAUACGGCCCAGACUCCUACGGGAGGCAGCAGUGGGGAAUAUUGCACAAUGGGCGGAAGCCUGAUGCAGCGACGCCGCGUGGGGGAUGACGGCCUUCGGGUUGUAAACCUCUUUCGACAGGGACGAAGCUUCGGUGACGGUACCUGUAUAAGAAGCACCGGCUAACUACGU